UUUUAUGCGCAGUGGCAGUAUCGUAGUCAAUGAGGUUUAUCCGAGGCGCGAUUAUUGCUAAAAGAUAAUUCAUUAAUGAAUGAUCCACUCAUAUGGAUCAUUUUUCUUAUUUUUGAUUAUGGACUUGAAAUAUUUUUUUCA